rnacentral:pre_miRNA from 1 species
UGGGCUCAAGCAAUUCUUCCAUGCCCAGUUUUCUUUUCUUUUUAUUUUUAGAGAUGGGGUCUUGCUAUGUUGCUCAGGCUU